rnacentral:piRNA from 1 species
GCGGACCCCGACCUAGACUCAGACAAGGU